rnacentral:rRNA from 1 species
UACGGAGGGUGCAAGCGUUGUCCGGAAUCACUGGGCGUAAAGGGCGCGUAGGCGGUCCCCUAAGUGUGUGGUGAAAGCUCGGGGCUCAACCCCGAGUCGGCCGUGCAAACUGGGGGACUCGAGCAUGUCAGAGGCAGGCGGAAUUCCGGGUGUAGCGGUGGAAUGCGUAGAGAUCCGGAAGAACACCGGUGGCGAAGGCGGCCUGCUGGGACAUGGCUGACGCUGAGGCGCGACAGCGU